rnacentral:misc_RNA from 1 species
UACGAAGGGAGCUAGCGUUGUUCGGAAUUACUGGGCGUAAAGGGCGCGUAGGCGGCCGUUUAAGUCAGAUGUGAAAGCCUUGGGCUCAACCUGAGAAUUGCAUUUGAUACUGGACGGCUUGAGAUCGAGAGAGGAAAGUAGAAUUAUGAGUGUAGAGGUGAAAUUCGUAGAUAUUCAUAAGAACACCAGUGGCGAAGGCGACUUUCUGGCUCGAUACUGACGCUAAGGCGCGAAAGCGUGGGGAGCAAACAGG